ensembl:lncRNA
GGGGGAUCUAUGGGGGAUCAGUGGGGGAUCAGUGGGGCAGCAGUGGGGCAGCAAUGGGCGAUCAAUGGGGGAUAAAUGGGGGAUCAAUGCGGGAUCAGUGGGGGAUCAGUGGGGCAGCAGUGGGGCAGCAAUGGGGGCAGCAAUGGGGUAUCAAUGGGGCAGCAGUGGGGGAUCCAUGGGGGCAGCAAUGGGGGAACAGUGGGGGAUCAGUGGGGCAGCAGUGGGGGAUCAGUGGGGGAUUAAUGGGGCAGCAAUAGGGGAUCGGUGGGGCAGCAAUGGGGGAUCAAUGGGGGAUCCAUGGGGCAGCAAUGGGGAAUCAAUGGGGCAGCAGUGGGGCAGCAGUGGGGGAUCAGUGGGGCGGCAGUGGGGGAUCAAUGGGGUAUUAAUGGGAUAUCCAUGGGGUAUCAGUGGGGCAGCAAUGGGGUAACUAUGGGGGAUCAAUGGGGCAGCAAUGGGGUAUCAAUGGGGCAGCAGUGGGGGAUCAGUGGGGCAGCAAUGGGGUAUGCAUGGGGUAUCAAUAGGGAAUCAAUGGAGGAUCCAUGGGGCAGCAAUGGGGAUCAAUGGGGCAGCAGUGGGGCAGCAGUGGGGGAUCAAUGGAGGAUCAAUGGGGGAUCAGUGGGGCAGCUGUGGGGCAGCAAUGGGGGAUUAAUGGGGCAGUAAUGGGGGAUCAGUGGGGCAGCAAUGGGGGCAGCAAUGGGAUAUCAGUAGGGGAUCAAUGGGGUACCAAUGGGGGAUCCAUGGGGCAGCAGUGGGAGAUCAGUGGGGCAGCAGUGGGGCAGCAAUGGGGGCAGCAAUGGAGGAUCAAUGGGGGAUCCAUGGGGGUCUAUGGGGUAUCAGUGGGGCAGCAAUGGGGCAGCAAUGGGCGAUCAAUGGGGUUUCAAUGGGGCAGCAAUGGGGCAGCAGUGGGGGAUCAGUGGGGGAUCAAUGGGGCAGCAGUGGGGCGGCAGUGGGGCAGCAAUGGGGUAUCAGUGGGGCAGCAGUGGGGGAUCAAUGGGGCAGCAAAGGGGUAUUAUAGGGGCAGCAAUGGGGGAUGAGUGGGGUUUCAAUGGGGUAUGCAUGGGGUAUCAAUAGGGAAUCAAUGGGGGAUCCGUGGGGCAGCAAUGGGGAUCAAUGGGGCAGCAGUGGGGCAGCAGUGGGGGAUCAAUGGGGCAGCAAUGGGGGAUCCAUGGGGUAUUAAUGGGGCAGCAGUGGGGCAGCAAUGGGUGACCAAUGGGGCAGCAAUGGAGGAUCAGUGGGGCAGCAAUGGGGCAGCAAUGGGGCAGCAAUGAGGGAUCCAUGGGGGAUCAGUGGGGCAGCAGUGGGGUGUCCAUGGGGUAUCAAUAGGGAAUCAAUGGGGGAUCCAUGGGGCAGCAAUGGGGAUCAAUGGGGCAGCAGUGGGGCAGCUGUGGGGGAUCAGUGGGGGAUCAGUGGGGGAUCAAUGGGGUUUCAAUGGGGCAGCAAUGGGGGAUCAGUGGGGCAGCUAUGGGGUAUCCAUGGGGUAUCAACAGGGAAUCAAUGGGGGAUCCGUGGGGCAGCUAUGGGGAUCAAUGGGGCAGCAGUGGGGCAGCUGUGGGGGAUCAGUGGGGGAUCAAUGGGGUUUCAAUGGGGCAGCAAUGGGGCACUGUGGGGCAGCAGUGGGGGAUCCAUGGGGGAUCAAUGGGGUCUCAAUGGGGCAGCAGUGGGGCAGCAAUGGGGGAUCAGUGGGGCAGCAAUGGGGCAGCAAUGGGGCAGCAAUGGGGCAGCAGUGGGGGAUCAGUGGGGGAUCAAUGGGGCAGCAGUGGGGCGGCAGUGGGGCAGCAAUGGGGUAUCAGUGGGGCAGCAGUGGGGGAUCAAUGGGGCAGCAAAGGGGUAUUAUAGGGGCAGCAAUGGGGGAUGAGUGGGGUUUCAAUGGGGUAUGCAUGGGGUAUCAAUAGGGAAUCAAUGGGGGAUCCAUGGGGCAGCAGUGGGGAUCAAUGGGGCAGCAGUGGGGCAGCAGUGGGGGAUCAGUGGGGCAGCAAUGGGGUAUCAAUGGGGUUUCAAUGGGGCAGCACUGGGGCAGCAAUGGGUUAUCAAUGGGGCAGCAGUGGGGGAUCAGUGGGGGAUCAAUGGGGCAGCAGUGGGGGAUCAGUGGGGUAUUAAUGGGGGAUACGGGGGGGCAGUAAUGGGGGAUCUAUGGGGCAGCAGUGGGGCAGCAAUGGGGGAUCCAUGGGGCAGCAGUGGGGGAUCAAUGGGGUCUCAAUGGGGCAGCAGUGGGGCAGCAAUGGGGGAUCAAUGGGGCAAUAAUGCGGUAUUAAUGGGGGAUCAAUGGGGCACCAAUGGGGGAUCAGUGGGGCAGAAAUGGGGCAGCAAUGGGGGAUCAAUGGGGUAUCAAUGGGGCAGCAGUGGGGCAGCAAUGGGGCAGCAAUGGGGGAUCAAUGGGGGAUCCAUGGGGGUCUAUGGGGUAUCAGUGGGGCAGCAAUGGGGCAGCAAUGGGGGAUCAAUGGGGUUUCAAUGGGGCAGCAGUGGGGGAUUAAUGGGGGAUCCAUGGGGAUCUAUGGGGUAUCAGUGGGGCAGCAAUGGGGGAUCAGUGGGGGAUCAGUGGGGCAGCAGUGGGGCAGCAAUGGGGCAGCAAUGGGGGAUCAAUGGGGGAUCAGUGGGGGAUCAGUGGGGCAGCAAUGGGACGUUGCGGCCAUCAAUGGGGACAUUGGUGACCCCAAAGGGCCACCAAUGACCCCAAAAGUGCCACUGAAGACCCCAAAAAGGACAUCGGUGACCCCAAAAGUGCCAUCAGAGACCCCAAAAGUGCCAUUGCUGACCCCAAAGGUGCCAUUGCUGACCCCAAAGUGCCACUGAAGACCCCAAGAAGGACAUUGGUGACCCUAAAAGGGACAUGGGUGACCCCAAAGUGGCCAUUUAUGACCCCAAAAGGGACAUUGCUGACCCCAAAAGUGCCACUGAUGACCCCAAAAGUGCCAUUGCUGACCCCAAAAGGGACAUCAGUGACCCUAAAGAGGACAUUGGUGACCCCAAAGGUGCCAUUGUUGACCCCAAAGCGCCACUGAAGACCCCAAAGUGCCAUCAGUGACCCCAAAAGUGCCAUUGCCGACCCCAAGAAGGACAUUGGUGACCCUAAAAGGGACAUUGCUGACCCCAAAGUGGCCAUUUAUGACCCCAAAAGGGACAUUGCUGACCCCAAAGUGCCAUCGCUGACCCCAAAAGUGCCAUUUAUGACCCCACAAAGGACAUUGGUGACCCUAAAAGGGACAUUGGUGACCCUAAAAGGGACAUUGCUGACCCCAAAGUGCCACUGAAGACCCUAAAAGGGACAUCAGUGACCCCAAAGGUGCCAUUGCUGACCCCAAAGUGCCAUUGCUGACCCCAAGAAGGACAUUGGUGACCCUAAAAGGGACAUUGCUGACCCCAAAGUGGCCAUUUAUGACCCCAAAAGGGACAUUGCUGACCCCAAAAGGGACAUCAGUGACCCUAAAGAGGUCAUUGGUGACCCCAAAGGUGCCAUUGCUGACCCCAAAGUGCCACUGAAGACCCCAAAGUGCCAUCAGUGACCCCAAAAUGCCACUGAAGACCCCAAGAAGGACAUUGGUGACCCUAAAAGGGACAUCAGUGACCCCAAAGGUGCCAUUGCUGACCCCAAAGUGCCACUGAAGACCCCAAGAAGGACAUUGGUGACCCUAAAAGGGACAUCAGUGACCCUAAAGAGGACAUCGGUGACCCCAAAGGUGCCAUCACUGACCCCAAAAUGCCACUGAUGACCCCAAAGUGCCAUCAGUGACCCCAAAAGUGCCAUUGCUGACCCCAA